AGAGAGAGACAUGCGCGCAUAUCAAUAAGCGGAGGAAAAGUAAACUAACUAGGAUUCCCUUAGUAACGGCGAGUGAAGCGGGAAGAGCUCAAAUUUGAAAUCUUCAAGGUUUCUACCUUGACGAAUUGUAGUUUAAAGAAGUGUUUUCUGUUAGUGGAGUUUGGUAAAAGUUCUUUGGAAUAGGACAUCAUAGAGGGUGAGAAUCCCGUAUUUGACCAUUACUUUCCAGCUGUGUGAUACACUUUCAAAGAGUCGGAUUGUUAGGGAAUGCAGUCCAAAAUGGGUGGUAAAUUUCAUCUAAAGCUAAAUAUUGGCGAGAGACCGAUAGCGAACAAGUACCGUGAGGGAAAGAUGAAAAGAACUUUGAAAAGAGAGUUAAACAGUACGUGAAAUUGUCAAAAGGGAAGCGUUUGACACCAGUGUUGUUUUUCCGAAAAUCAAUUACGAAUGUUUUGUUUUUGAGGAGUUAUGACUUCAUCGGCUUGCUCCUUUCUUUACGAAACUUUCUUAAUGCACUUUUCGGUUAACAAGUCAACAUCAAUUUCUUUUGUUGUAAAAGGGUAAGAGGAAGGUGGCUUACGCUUCGGCGUAAGUGUUUAUAGCCUUUUACCUCUGCAAUCGGAGAGAUUGAGGUCUGCAGCGUAGACUCUUCGGGGUUAGAUACACUUGUGCUAAGCUAUAGCCUUGUAUAGACAACUUGUUGACUAUGCUCAGUCAUGUAGCUUACUCGCUUGUGCUAUUUUACCUACGCUUAGGAUGUUGAUCUGUAGUGCGUGCGC
rnacentral:rRNA from 1 species